ACAAUAUACCCCACUAUCCGCCCGGGAACUACGAGCAUUAGCUUAAAACCCAAAGGACUUGGCGGUGCUUUAGACCCACCUAGAGGAGCCUGUCCUAGAACCGAUAACCCCCGUUCAACCUCACCCCCCUUUGUUUUUCCCGCCUAUAUACCACCGUCGUCAGCUUACCCUGUGAAGGCCUUAUAGUAAGCAAAAUUGGUAAAACCCAAAACGUCAGGUCGAGGUGUAGCGCAUGGGAGGGGAAGAGAUGGGCUACAUUCUCUACUACAGAGAACCACGAAUGUAUUAGUACUGAAAAUAUACAACUGAAGGAGGAUUUAGCAGUAAGUGGAAAAUAGAACGUUC
rnacentral:rRNA from 1 species